rnacentral:ncRNA from 2 species
CGCUCAUCCAGAGGGGCAGAGGGAUACGGCCCGUUGAAGCCCCGGCAACCCUCCAGCCGGUCUCCGCCGCGAUCAGCGCGCGCGAGGCUCCCGGCUAGGGAAGGUGCCAAAUCCGUCUCGUGGCGAGAUGCGUCGCGAGGAAGAUGAGGA